rnacentral:rRNA from 1 species
UACGGGGGGGGCAAGCGUUGUUCGGAAUUACUGGGCGUAAAGGGCUCGUAGGCGGCCAACUAAGUCAGACGUGAAAUCCCCAGGCUCAACCUGGGAACUGCGUCUGAUACUGGAUGGCUUGAAUCCGGGAGAGGGAUGCAGAAUUCCAGGUGUAGCGGUGAAAUGCGUAGAUAUCGGGAGGAACACCUGCGGUGUAGACGGCUUACUGGACCGUGACUGACGCUGAGGCACGAAAGCGUGGGUAGCAAACAGG